UCCCGGAGGCCCAUGGGAAUGGGUGGCUGGGAUCUAAUGUUUCUUCACAUCAUGUAGAUGUGUCAAAAAGCUGAGUUGGUUCCCAUGCCAUCCAUUCCUAUCGUUCCCGGGA